rnacentral:rRNA from 1 species
ACAGUAUGCACAGGUGACUUGUGUGGGCGCCCUGCGGAUGACUUGAAGAGCAUCCGGAGCGCGUCCUGAAUGAAGUAAUUCAGCGGACGCGAGCCUGGAAGCUUCACGAUGUAUCGGUGGCGCAAGCCACCAGCAGAUCCAAGUGAAGAGUUUGAUCCUGGCUCAGAUUGAACGCUGGCGGCAUGCCUAACACAUGCAAGUCGAGCGGCAGCGCGGGGGCAACCCUGGCGGCGAGCGGCGGACGGGUGAGUAAGGCAUCGGAAUCUGCCCUGAUGUGGGGGGAUAACGUAGGGAAACUUACGCUAAUACCGCAUACGACCGAGAGGUGAAAGCGGGGGACCGAAAGGCCUCGCGCAGCAGGAUGAGCCGAUGUCCGAUUAGC